rnacentral:rRNA from 1 species
AGCUCCAAUAGCGUAUAUUAAAUUUGUUGCUGUUAAAAAGCUCGUAGUCGAACUUCGGCUAUCGUCAGCCGGUCCGCUCUCUGAGUGUGUACUGGAACUGAUGGUGGCUUAACCUCCUGGUGAACUUGCAUGCACUUUAUUGGGUGUGCAAGGGAACCCGGACUUUUACUUUGAAUAAAUCAGAGUGUUCAAAGCAGGCAUGUUUGCCCGAAUGUUACAGCAUGGAAUAAUAGAAUAAGACGUGUGUCUCUAUUGGUCUUUUAGAGACACCGUAAUGAUAAAUAGGGGCGGUUGGGGGCAUUUGUAUUCAAUUGCUAGAGGUGAAAUUCUUGGAUUUAUUGAAGACAAACUACUGCGAAAGCAUUUGCCAAGGACGCUUUCA